CCACUGCAGUACUUCCUUUAUGCUUCCUUCUCGGCACAUGGGGUAUGAGCUAAAAUGUCAUUCCUUCACCACAAAGUUGAAAGAAAAUAAAGAAUAAAGUCAGUACAUGGAUUAUUAGAAGCCAGUUUCAAACAGUAUGUGUCUCUCUGUAUAUAUUUGUUUUUCAGGCUGCAUGUGGUCUCAGUACUGUUUAUUACCAUGAUAUCAUCAGUGGUAACUACAACAAGUCUACAACCCCGAGAAGUGGCAGCUCCGGGCAGUGACUUCACCCUUAACUGCUCUUUUCCUUCAUCUAAAAAUCUGAACCUCAACCAACUGGUCAUCAACUGGCAGCGUGGAGAAUCAGAGGUGGUUCACAGCUAUUACCAUGGGAGAGAUCAGCUGGAAAGACAGAGUGGUGUUUACAAGGGACGCACUCAUCUGUUUGAAGACCAGCUCACUGUGGGAAAUGCCUCACUUAGACUGAGUGGUGUGCAGCCGAGUGACCAGGGCCAAUACACCUGUGAUGUGACAGAUGAACAGGGAGGCACCCUGGAAAAGCUACAACUUCUAGUGGCAGGGGUUUCCCCAGCCAGAGUUAGUGUGGAAAGGGGUGAUGGACAGUAACACCACUAUGGAAUUGGACAGCAGGGGGCGCUAUGAGCUGAAGAGUGAGGUGACACUGUGGUUGAACAGCACUCUGACUGUUACAGCCGAGCUGAGACUGAGGGUUCUGGACCAGAGUUUCACCAAGUCUCUCACACUCCACCCACCACCAGUUUUUACCUAGUCCAUUGGGAUGUGAUGAAUGAUGAUACCAUACUUGCACAAUGGCCUUUGACCAUGGGCUUCAAACAGUAUGUGUCUCUCUGAAUAUAUUUUGUGCUGUGUGAUGCCUGCCGAGAAGAGGAGCAGAUUUUUUAUGUAUCCCCUGCUGCUUAUGCUACUGGGAUUAGUGCUCCUGUUGUCCUGGAAGAGGUCUGAGCAGGAGACCAAAAAGGAUGAGAAAACACAAGAAUAGAAUGACCUUCAGUCCAUGGUCACUCAACAGGCAUCAUGCCAGAGCAAUUAUCAUUGCUUGUUUACAGAGAAAACAUAAAGGGAGGACAGCCUUGUUUACUAAAGUCCAUUUUCAUGGGAAGUCAUUUGGUAAAAUCUGAAUUGCACUAUAAAACUUUAUACACAAAGUUCAACAUGAUAGAGUUGACACACUGUAUUGUCAAACAAUACAGUUGACACACUCACUAAAGAUAGACAAUGGGAGUUGCACACCACACCACUAGAUGGUCAUAUGUACCUCUACUCCUAAUCUACUUCCUCUUAAGGUUUCUUCCAUGUAGCGAGUUUUUGCUUACUGCUACUUGCUCAGGGAUUUAGCCCAGGUUACUGUGUAAAUCACCUUUUACAUCUGCAGAUGUCUUACUGGGCUUUAUAAAUUACAUGUAUAUAUUGUUUGAAAUUAUGGCAGCUAUAGCGUCUAAUGAAAGUUGUUACAUGUGUGUUCCAGUCAGUGUAUCAUACUUUCCAGAAUUUGUUAUUUUGUAAUAAAAGGAGAUGAAACCCCAA